ACGAACGCUGGCGGCGUGCUUAACACAUGCAAGUCGAGCGGAAAGGCCCUUCGGGGUACUCGAGCGGCGAACGGGUGAGUAACACGUGAGUAAUCUGCCCUUAGCUCUGGGAUAGACUCCGGGAAACCGGGAUUAAUACCGGAUACGACCACUACGGACAUCUGUUUUGGUGGAAAGAAUUUCGGCUAGGGAUGAGCUCGCGGCCUAUCAGCUUGUUGGUGGGGUAACGGCCUACCAAGGCGACGACGGGUAGCCGGCCUGAGAGGGCGACCGGCCACACUGGGACUGAGACACGGCCCAGACUCCUACGGGAGGCAGCAGUGGGGAAUAUUGCGCAAUGGGCGAAAGCCUGACGCCAGCGACGCCGCGUGGGGAUGAAGGCCUUCGGGUUGUAAACCCCUUUCAGCAGGGACGAAGCGAAAGUGACGGUACCUGCAGAAGAAGCGCCGGCUAACUACGUGCCAGCCGCUGC
rnacentral:rRNA from 1 species